UACGUAGGGGGCAAGCGUUGUCCGGAAUCAUUGGGCGUAAAGCGCGUGUAGGCGGCCCGGUAAGUCCACUGUGAAAGUCCAGGGCUCAACCCUGGGAUGCCGGUGGAUACUGUCGGGCUCGAGUCCGGAAGAGGCGAGUGGAAUUCCUGGUGUAGCGGUGAAAUGCGCAGAUAUCAGGAGGAACACCAAUGGCGAAGGCAGCUCGCUGGGACGUGACUGACGCUGAGACGCGAAAGCGUGGGGAGCAAACAGG
rnacentral:rRNA from 1 species